rnacentral:lncRNA from 1 species
GCGCUCGGGGCGGGCGGGGGGCCGCGCGCAGCCUCGGGCCCCCGCGCCCCCCGCGCCCCCGGGCGCAUUUCCACGCCGAGAGCGCGUCGGCAGCCCCGGCGACCUGCACACGCACGGCGGGACCCACCUUCCAGCCUGAUCUUUUGACCAGAAAGGGAUUAAAAAGUUGCCCAUCCUGAUGGCUGUGCCUGCCGGUUGCAUGGAGCCUCAUUCAGGAUUUCCUGAGCCUCUUGGAUUUACAGUGAUACUCAGCUGCGGGGAGUGGAGGAAGCAUUCUCUGGAAUCACAGACGGCACACGUCUGGAUGCUAAUGAUGGUUUUACGGAUGGCCCCGGCUGAGUGCUUGGCAGAUCCCUGCAGCCUGGAUGCCUGUGGGGUCAGAGGACCGCGGCUUCCUGGGACGGCGGAGAAUCCUGUCAUACCUCGGAUUUUGGUGCCUUCAGUCUGAAAAAUACACACAUCCAUUUGGUACCCUAGAGGAACUGGAGAAUUGUCUUCCCCUGAAUGAAGCUGGACCAUUCUGGGAUUUGGAGAAAGGCUCCCCGAAGCCCCCAGGAACCCCCGCAGCCUGGCUCUCGGCCGACCCUCUUCGGGACACCGUGUCAUGUUGCGUUCACUGAUCCGUAUGAUGGCAUGUCCGGCACCACCAGUGACGGCAGGUUCGCUGCUCCGUGUGAUGACGCCUUCCCCGCUCCACGGAGUGCUAGCCUGCGUGUUCGUCGUGCUGAGAGGUCACAGAGGGAAAGGGAGCCUUGGAGCAAUGCCCCGGGGGAUAGAGGCCAGAAUGUUCCAGGUGGAAAAAAUCUGUGCUCCAGGUGGUGACAGCAGUGAAAUCUGGCCACACCAGGGAGUGUCUGCUGCGGGGAGCCUCGGCCAGGCCACCGUCGGGCCUCCCUCCAGCCUGCUGGGCAGUAGCCCCCCUUCCCACGUCCACGCUCCGUGGGCCGCGGUGAGUGUGUUAGCCAGGACGUUACACAUGAGAAAGCUUGACGUCGGCUGGGCGACGAGUUGGUGUUGCUGCCUGCAGUUCAGCCCCCCACCCCCACCCCUCCGCCCCCUGAACAUUCUCUGGCUGUGACGGCACAGGGGGAAGGGCCGGCGGGCCCCGGAGACGCUCUCCUAGUUGCCUGACAUUCCGAGUAUGAUUCAUAAUGAUUGUAGCAGAUGAGGCAUGAGGGCCGAGGCUCAGACUGCAGCUGAUGGAGGUCUUCUCCCAAGGAAGCGUGCCCAGCCUCCCCGGGGGCCUCCGCCGUCUGGCUGGCCUGGGCCGCCCGGUGCCCAGCAGCGUGGUCAGUGAUGAGCGGCCCGUUAUGGGGGGGCCACUGUGCGUAGGGGAUGAUGCUGCAGCCGCGAGAGAGCCCUGAGAAUGGGGAUCCCAGCAAGCUGGGGUGCGUUUUACGUUCAUUACUUUUUAAAUAUCUGGAAAAUAAUGAAGAACUAUGAAAAAGGCUGUAAUUGCACCAAUUUUAAAAAUUAACAAACGGGGGAGUGAAAAGUGGCCAACCCCACUGUCAAACACCUCCCACCUCUUCCUGAGAUAAUCCCUAUUAUCAGUUCGGUCAUUUAUGCAAACCCAGUGGUGGGCUGUUCAGACUCUUAUGAAGGAAAGAAAGCCCCGGAUUGUAGGUUUGCCGACAUCUGAGGGGUGAGAUCCCACCAUGGCGAUUAAAGAUUUAAAAUCCAUUUUGCACAAUUCUUGAAUAUUUACCAGUUGGCUUCUGUUAAACCCCUGCACUGUCACAAGCAAUCACUUUCUUUUUGGCGGCACGAGGGGCGGAAAUUGGAAACCCAUUACGCAUAGUGGUCUGCUUGUCAUUUUCAUUUCCUGUGUCGCAUACCUCUUCCUCAACCAGCGCAUGCAGAUUCACUUAGCUCAUUUCCCUUGCAUGGUGGGGUUUCUUCCCUGAAGGUGCACUUUGUUGCUCUUGGAAGGUUCUUGCAGAAUCGUCCCACCGGGGGAAGGGAGGGUGACAGCGGAUCUUCGCGUUCAGGGAGGCUGGCUCCUGCUGCCCACAUCUUAGACCAACUUCGUUGGAGUUCAUUGUAGCUCCUGGCCUCUCCUGAACGUGUCAUUCUGAGUCUGGAGGCUAAGCACCUCUGAUGGUGACACUUGCAUUCACUUUCACUCAUCUUUAGGUUCCAUUGGAUAAUCUCAUUUUUCUUCUGGGGAGUCUUUCCUGAUAUUCCUCUCUUUCCCCACACCUGCUCUCUGAGGCUGGGCAGUGGGCCUCUUCCCGGUUUCUUAGAACCCAGGGCUCCCAUCUAUGAUGAUGGUCCCCACACUUUAUUAUUUAUUUUACAGGUUUCCUGUAGAGAAGCAGAGAAGCUCUGCCAGCCAGAAUAGUACACUCCCCACCCCCCAAUGCCUACACCCAAAUCUCUGGGGCUGUGCCUAUGAAAUCGUUACUUUACCUGACAGAGGGGCCUUUGCAGAUGGCAUUAAGGUGACUAAGCAGUGGGCCCAUGCGGAGAUUAUUCUGGAUGAUGCAGACAACUUUCUUUGAUUGGGAUCAGAGAGAUCGGCUCCCCCCUUCCCCCAAGAGGAAUCAGCCUCCAGUGUGAGAAGGGUUUAGUGUGCUGCUGGUUCCCACAUGUAGGGACCCAGGCAUGAGGACCGGAGGCAGAAAGGUGGCCCCUGCUGACUGCCAGCAAGGAAAAGGACCCUCAAUCCUCAACCACAGGAGACCAAAUUCAUCCGAGGGCGUGGAUGAGUGAACUUGGAAGAUGGCCCUCCCCACAGCCUCCCAGUUAAGAGCCAACACCUUGAAUCCAGCCCACAGAAGCUGGGAUGGAGGCCCCGGCUGUGGCACGUCUGACCUGGAGACUGAGACAGUGCAUGUGUGCUAUUUGGAGCCACCGUGUUGGGGCAUCUGGGUGGCUCAGUGGCUGAGCGUCUGCCCUCCGCUCAGGGCGUGAUCCCGGGGUCCUGGGAUCGAGCCCCACAUCGGGUUCCCCACGGGAAGGCUGCUUCUCCCUCUGCCUAUGUCUCUGCCUCUCUCUGUGUGUCUCUCAUGAAUAAAUAAAUAAAAUCUUAAAAAAAGAA